CGAUCAAAGAAGAGGAAGAGCUUAUGGAAAAGAGCAGCAAACUUCACAUAGUAGUGUUUCCAUGGCUAGCCAUGGGACAUCUCAUACCAUUUCUCAGAUUAUCCAAGAUCUUAGCUCAAAGGGGUCACAAAAUUUACUUCGUUUCAACGCCAAGAAACAUCAAUAGGCUUCACAGAUCACCCCAUAAGCUCUUCCUCUAACAUUUCUCUGAUAUCCUUUCCCUUAUCUCCCAUGCCUGGCCUACCGCCCAGUGCAGAGAAUACCAGUGACAUACCCUACUCUAAACAACAGUUGCUAAAGAAGGCCUUUGAUCUGCUUGAACAGCAGCUAACCACUUUCCUUCAAUUCACAAAACCAGACUGGGUUAUUUACGAUUCCCCCUCUCACUGGCUGCCGUCUAUAGCCGCCGACCUCGGUAUCUCAACCGCCUUCUUUAGUCUCUUCACCGCCGCAGCACUGACCUUUGUAGGCCCGCCGUCGAUGUUGAUGCACGAUGGAGAUUCACGGUCGGCAGCCGAGGAUUUCACAGUCGUGCCCAAGUGGGUUCCUUUCGAGUCAAACGUGAUGUAUCGCAUCCAUGAGGUUACGAAGUAUGUGGAGAAAACGAAAGAGGAUGAAACAGGACCAAAUGACGCUGUUCGGUUUGGCUUUGCUGUUGGAAAGGCUGAUCUCGUUAUUAUUAGAAGCUCACCAGAGCUUGAACCGGAAUGGUUCGACCUUCUUGGCCAGCUGUGCGAAAAACCGAUUAUUCCACUGGGUUUCUUGCCUCCACUAGAAGAAGAAGAAGAAGAUAAUAGUGGUAGGGAAUGGGCGUGUAUUAAAGAAUGGCUAGAUAAAAAGGAAGCCGAGUCAGUAGUUUAUGUUGCUCUAGGUACCGAGGGUGCUCUGAGUCAAGAAGAAGUGAGCGAGUUGGCUUUUGGGUUGGAGAAGUCGAGAUCGCCUUUCUUUUGGGCACUCAAGACCUCACCAGGGUCAACUCAGAACGUGUUGGAGAUGCUACCGGAUGGGUUCGAGGAGCGAGUUAAGCAUCAAGGGAUUAUUUACAAGGAAUGGGCUCCACAAGUGAAGAUACUGGGUCACAAGUCAGUUGGGGUAUUCUUGACUCACUGUGGUUGGAACUCAGUUGUCGAAGGACUCUCGUUUGGCAGGGUUUUGAUUAUGUUGCCAAUGCUAAAUGACCAAGGGCUCAACGCCAGGCUGUUACAAGGGAAAAACCUAGGAUUAGAGAUACCAAGGAACCAGCUAGAUGGGGCUUUUACAUCCGAUUCAGUGGCCGAAUUACUGAGAAAGGAUAAGAUUGAUGGCUCGCCCAAUACGAAGAAGAUAAGAGGCCUGUUUGGAGACAGGGAUAGGAACAAUCAACUUGCGGCAGCAGUUGUUCAUUAUCUCGAAGAGGGCAGGACGUCCAGGUUACAGGCCUGCUAAGUGAUUUUGCUUGCAAUUUUUCAAUAUCGGAUUCUAUGUUUAAUAAAAUGUUGCCUUGAAAUGAUUAAUAACGAAUUUAAUUUUUCUUUUGUCCCUUAUCGAUAUAUGUAAAAAAUUAAUAUUUAACUUUGUUCGACUCAUUU
rnacentral:misc_RNA from 1 species